rnacentral:tRNA from 1 species
GGAGAGAUGGAUGAGUGGCUUAAGUCGCACGCCUGGAAAGCGUGUGUGGGAUAACAUCCCACCGCGGGUUCGAAUCCCGCUCUCUCCGCCA